rnacentral:rRNA from 1 species
UACGUAGGUGGCAAGCGUUGUCCGGAUUUACUGGGCGUAAAGAGCGCGCAGGCGGUCGUUCAAGUCGGAUGUGAAAGCCCCCCGGCUCAACUGGGGAGGGUCAUUCGAUACUGAUCGACUUGAAGGCAGGAGAGGGAAGCGGAAUUCCCGGUGUAGUGGUGAAAUGCGUAGAUAUCGGAAGGAACAUCAGUGGCGAAAGCGACUUCCUGGACCAGUACCGACGUUCAGGCACGAAAGCGUGGGGAGCAAACAGG